GGGGCUGAUUGGCUUUCGACAGGAGCAAAGAGGCUUAGGUGCAUGUGAGCUGGUAAGCUCUAAAACUACCACAAUCAAUAAACGCAAAUAAUACAAAUUACGCUCCAGCUUACGCAAAAGCAGCGUAAGUUAAUCGCUUUUUGGAGCCGGUUUAAGACAUUCUAUUCUAGCUAGAAUCUUAAGCUGUCAUUCCCGCUAGAUGCUCUCCUUUCCACACCUUGAGCAAGGAGAAAAGAUUUAGGUUGCUUGUGGAUUCUGCCUUGGGGUGUUGGGUAGCCACAAAAAGAUGUCAAUGCCUACUAAACAUGUAGAUUCUUAAGAUUAUCUUACUUUUGGACUGGGGUUCAACUCCCCACAGCUCCACCA
rnacentral:tmRNA from 1 species